rnacentral:ribozyme from 13 species
AGAAGGGAGAGAAAGUGAAGGGUUGGGGGUUAGAAGUUGCUUUUUGGACUCUUGCUCCUUUUCUUUUUCUUCUUUCUGUUCUUUCUCUUGUUUCUCUUCUUUCU